AAAAUUAAAUUUAAAAAAUAUAAUACAUUGCCCCUAGGUAAAAACAGUGAGACAUAACAAAUAGCACCUCGAAAUAAAAAAUAAAUUAAAAAAAAAUAGAACCUUGAUUCUCCAGGAGAGAGAAUCCAUCUUUCCUGUUCAAAGAACUCGUUUUCUAAUGACAAUCCCUUAAGCUGGUCAACUGCCUAACCUGAUCGAACAGCUCACUUUAUCUCCUGAUGUCUUUUUAGGUAUAGAGAGAGCAGACAGCUAUAUAAAUUCACACUCUGUCCAAUUCAGUAUCCAAUGUCUAUUUGAUGACUGACUGUGAGGGGUUUUUAAACAUUAUCAAUCCUAUUCUUGGGUCUCUGGCUAUCUUCCCCUAUACUAUCUGUUUGCAGUUAUCUUAAAUCUUUAAAAAGACAAUCUUUCUAGUAUGGUAAAGGAAAAACAGCUUUUUUAUUUAGUUAUAGGACACUUUCAUCAUGCACUGCUUCAAAUUCUAAGCUUAACAGAAAAAUGCUGUUACCAAAAGUUUAGAAACCAAAUUGAUCUGCACCAUUUCAGUUUCCAACUCUUCCCUAACCACACUGGAAAACAACAUUUACUGUUAUUCCUUUAUAUAGUGUGACCACAAGAAACUACGUCUGUUCUUAAAAAUGUUCAAGUGUCACCUAAAACUUCAUUCUCCCCUUCUUCUCUCUUGACGAAAACAAUCUCACAACUAUGUCAGAGGGAGAAGAAGACCAUCAGCUCAAAGCAUCUUCAAAUGACCAUUUCAAACUACUUUUCCUUUUUUUUAUUCAUUCCUCCAAGGAGUACCUCAUCAGAUGUGACCCUAUAGAUAUUCUAUCAUAAUCUUAUUUUAUUGACAAGGAAGUUAUUGCUGAAGAAGGAGAAAACUUGAAUCUUUUCUCCCUCUCUGGUUUUCUUUUUAAUAAUAUCAACAUCACUAAGACCUAUUUUUACUAAAACGCAACAGUGUGUUUUAAUAGAAAGAGCAAACACGAUUUGAAUAGGAACUAAUUCUCUGAAAUUUGAAAAUCAAGCCCACUUCAUUAUCAUAUUCAUUGUGGCUAUCCCUAAUGAUUCAAUAACUAGCCUCUUGGCUUCUAUGCUUUUUCCAUGGCUGAGUCUCUCUUUUCCCCCCUCCCCCUGUGCAUCGCUCACAUGACAUGUGAUCGGGCCUGGAGAUCUGGCAGAUCUUGACCAAUGGCCCUUGACACAGCUUAUGAGUAUUUAAGCUGUUAAUUUACUAGAUCAAAGAAUGGAAAAAGCUACAGGCCAUACCCCUAAUGUUCUUCAUCAAAAGCAAGUAUGCAAGAACAGAGUAUGAUGAUUUGAAAACAGCACAAACUUCACUUAUUUCAUUAAAGCAAUGUGAACCGACAAAAGGGAUUAAGUGGAGAACUAUUUCCAAGGAUAAAAAGGAUCCACGAGAGUGUACAGAUACCUAAUAUAGAAAGAGAUAAAUAUUAAUUUAGAACUAGGAUAGGCAUUUUAAAAAAAAUGGUGUGUUCUAGAUGCAUUUAUCUAAAAUUAGGUGAGGUCAACUUUUGUUUAUUUAUCAUUUGUCAUUAGUUUAAAUGUCAAAUAGCUGUGUCCUUCUUUAUUAAUGAAACUCUGAUAAUAAAAUAUUUUUUAGAAGUGAUAUCUCUUCUAUUAUUUAUUCAGGACAUCAUUAAGAAUAGCAUAUUUGGACAAUGACAACUGUGUCUGGUUGUAAUAUCUUUGCCAAACGUGGUGACACCACAACAUAAAUUAGAUUUGACAUGUGAUUAUUCUGAAGUUCUUUUCUUUUCCCCCACUUUAUUUCUAUUUAAACAACUGUGGAAGAGUAAAAUAAAAAUGUGUAAACAAUUUAUUCUAGAACACUUGUAGGAAAUCUUUCUUAAUGUUGGCUGCAUUUUUCUGUUCAUUUGCCCCAUGAAAUGCAAUAGUGAUGUUGGAUAAAGAACUGCAUGUGUCAGUACUAUUUUAGCCAUUAUGCCUGUAGGUGUAAUUAGAUUUUCUCAUUUGAAAUCCAUGUUAUUAUGUGCGCUCGUGGCAUGGCACUCCUGUGAGCAAUCAUCACUGAAUGUCUACAAUAGGCUUAUAAUGAGACACAUAUUUAUAUUAGCACAGUAUUUUUUUUUUUCCAAUUGAAGUCACAGUCUUUCUCAGACCUCUAGGUUGAAAAAAGUUUAUGCUUUCUCUGAACAUCCUGUAUGAUCCUAUGAUACAUCCCCACGUGCCAAUAACAAAUUUUUUGGAUAAAAGCAAAUCUUGUAAGUGUUCAUAAAUAAUAGUGUAUUUAUUAGUGCAUACACAUAAAUAAUACUGCAUAUUAUGAGUAAGUAUGAAUGGGAGGCGCCUAGAUUGUUUUUUUAAAAAGUAAUUAAAGAUGAACUAUAUCUAGAAUAUAUCCAGAAAUUUCCAUUAUAAUUAGUUAAGAAAAAAAAGCUGAUGGUUUUUGAAGUUUAAAAGAUUUAUGAUAUCUGGAGUUCUCAUCGUCGUGGCACAGAAGAAACAAAUCCGACCAGGAACCCUGAAGUUGAGGGUUUGACCCCUGGCCUCGCUCAGUGGGUUAAGGAUCCGGCGUUGCCGUGAGCUGUGGUGCAGGUUGCAGACGCGGCUCGGAUCUGGCGUUGCUGUGACUGUGGUGUAGGCCAGUGGUACAGCUCUGAUUAGACUCCUAGCCUGGGAAUCUCCAUAUGCCAUAGGUGCGGUCCUCAAAAGACAAAAGACAAAAAAAAAAAAAAAAGAUUUAUGAUAUCAAUAGCAAAAUACAAAUAAUUUAAUUUAAAAAUGGUCAGAGGAUCUGAUUAGACAUUUUUCUAAAGAAGAUGUACAGGUGGCCAACACACACACACACACAUACACACACACACACGCAAAUGAAAUGCUCAACCUCAUUAAUCAUAAAGGAAAUGUAAAUUAGAACACAAUUCACAGACUGGGAGAAAAUAUAUGUAAAGCAUACAUCUGAUAAAGGAAUAUUAUCCAAAAUAUAUAAAGAACUAUUAAAACUCAAUAAUAUGAAAACAAAUAAUCUGAUUUUAAAAUGUGCCGAAGACUUUAACAGACAUCUCACCAAAGAUAUACAAACGGAAAAUAAUUAUAUGAAAAGAUUCUCCACAUCACAUAUCAUCCAAAAACAAAACAGAUCAAAACAAAAAUAAGAUAUCACCAUACAACGGCUAAAAUUCAGAACACUGAUAAUACCAAAUGUUGUUGAGAAUGCGAUAGGAAUGGAAAAUGGUACAGCCAUGUUGGAAGACAGUGUGGCAGUUUCUUAUAAAACUAAACAUAUUCUUACCAUAAAAUAGAGCAAACACAUUGUUUGGUAUUUACCCAAAGGAACUGAAAGCUUAUGUCCACACAAAAACCUGCACAAAGAUAUUUAGAGAGCUUUAUUCAUAAUUGCCAAAACCUGCAAACAACCAAGACGUCUUUUAAUAGGUGAAUAGAUAAUAAAACAUGAUACAACCAGAUAAUGCAACAUUAUUUAACAUUGAAAGGGAAUGCCAUGCACAAAAAUAAACUCAAAGUGGUUUAAAGACUUACAUGUAAGACAAGACAUCAUUAAACACCUAGAAGAGAACACAGGCAAAACAUUCUCUGAUAUCAACCUUACAAAUGUUUUCUCAGUCAGUCUCCCAAAGCAACAGAAAUAA
rnacentral:lncRNA from 1 species